GAUUCGUCCCUCUUCUUCAA
rnacentral:sRNA from 1 species